rnacentral:rRNA from 1 species
GGAGAGUGGGGAGACGUCAAUCAUCAUGCCCCUUAUGACCUGGGCUACACACGUGCUACAAUGGCUGGUACAACGAGUCGCAAGCCGGUGACGGCAAGCUAAUCUCUUAAAGCCAGUCUCAGUUCGGAUUGUAGGCUGCAACUCGCCUACAUGAAGUCGGAAUCGCUAGUAAUCGCGGAUCAGCACGCCGCGGUGAAUACGUUCCCGGGCCUUGUACACACCGCCCGUCACACCACGAGAGUUUGUAACACCCGAAGUCGGUGAGGUAACCUUUUAGAACCCGCCCCCUAAAGGGGGAAAGAUGAAUGGGGUGAAGUCCUAACAAGGGAACCGUAAA